ACAAAAAGAUGAACACAGAGAAUCUCCCAGCAGGAAGAUUCAUGAGAAUUUAGGAAAGCUUCCCAUGAUCUAAGUAAGCAGCAAUGGUUGGAUCAUUUAGAAUCAGGUGUGCCAAGCCUUAGCAAAGUGCAGAGAACUGGAUGAUUUUGGGUGACUUAUAUUCUACACAUUUCCAUCAUCACCGCUUCUCCUGUUUGGAUUAUCCUGACCUCCCAGAGGAGAUGACUGCAUAUUGGAAUCUUGCACCAGACAGAAGAGGCAGAGAGCUAUUUUUGAAGCUCCUUAAAUCAGAAGCUCUGGCUCUUUACAAAAGCAUCCCCACAGGAUAUCAGGAC